rnacentral:rRNA from 2 species
UACGUAGGGGGCAAGCGUUAUCCGGAUUUACUGGGUGUAAAGGGAGCGUAGGUGGCUCGAUAAGUCAGAAGUGAAAGCCCAGAGCUCAACUCUGGGACUGCUUUUGAAACUAUCGAGCUAGAGUGCAGGAGAGGUAAGUGGAAUUCCUAGUGUAGCGGUGAAAUGCGUAGAUAUUAGGAGGAACACCAGUGGCGAAGGCGGCUUACUGGACUGUAACUGACACUGAGGCUCGAAAGCGUGGGGAGCAAACAGG